AUGGGGCGGCGGGUGGAGGGGUGGGGGGUGUCGAAGGGCUGGAGAUGUGGCUCAGGCCGAGUCGUCAGGCGCUUUCGGGGUCGCUGCGCCAGCCAGCGGGUUGGGUAAGGCGACACCGUGGCUGAAAGCGCAGCGGCUGCCUCGGGAGCUCUCCCGGGUCCUGAUUUCCUGGCGCAUCCUGAUGCCCGCGACUCCAGGCGACUGACUUCCAUCGGAAACCUCAGCUCCGAACGCCUGGCUUUUAGAAUGCUAGAGUUUGGGAGGUUCUGGGGACCGUCCCUGGGGGAGGAGGUGGCAGGCUGUGCGGCUCCUGCGUCCCUUAUGAUUCCUGCACAGUUACCGAGGGAGACUGUGCCAGAAAUGGCUUUGCUGCAAAACGCAUUCUCGUGCCAUUUCCGUACCCCGAUACGGCACACACACGAUUGCCGGAUCGAUCGGAAAUAGGAGGGAAAGGUAGAGUGGAAAUUGAUUUCUUGCACAGACUAAGGCGGCGAAUGAUAGAGGGAAUAAACAUUGGCCCUGGAUAAAAAUGUUCUUGGAAAACAGUGGAUUGUAAGGGUGAAUGUGAAGUAGGGGAGUUUAAUGAGGCAACGUCAAGGCUGAAAGUCCAUUUCUGGCACUCCAAACCCAAUCACAAGUAAAGCUGAUGUCUGCCUGCUUGCUAACGAGGCUGUAUUCUAGCUCUAAUGAUGUCCUAGAGCAGAAGUUUUUCUUCAGUCAUCACAUUUUACCAAAAGGAUGAUUUCUGUGUAUGUCCCUGUGUUUGCCAGAGACUGACAAAUGUUGCUGGGGGAUCUGGGACUCACAUAAGGAGGAUGAAUAUCCUGAAUUACAUCCAUUAUAAAUACAAUCUAACAACUGUGACAUACAGAGAGCAUACUUUCCAUCUAAUAUCUCAAUAUGCCUCCUAAACCUACUGGUAUAAUUUGCUAUUCAAAGAAAUGCAAUCAUUUGUUGAGGACCAAGCUUAACUUAAAUCACAAUUUUUGUAUAUUUAAGUAAAAUAAAUAUAAGUUUGCUGUUCUUUGAAA